GAUCAUGGCUCAGAACGAACGCUGGCGGCAUGCCUAACACAUGCAAGUCGAACGGGAUCCAGACUUCGGUCUGGUGAGAGUGGCGGACGGGUGAGUAACACGUGGGAACCUGCCUUUUGGUUCGGGAUAACCGCGGGAAACUGCGGCUAAUACCGGAUGCUCCCGAGAGGGAAAAGAUUUAUCGCCAGAAGAGGGGCCCGCGUCCGAUUAGGUAGUUGGUGGGGUAAAGGCCUACCAAGCCGACGAUCGGUAGCUGGUCUGAGAGGAUGAUCAGCCACACUGGGACUGAGAUACGGCCCAGACUCCUACGGGAGGCAGCAGUGGGAAUAUUGGACAAUGGGGGCAACCCUGAUCCAGCAAUGCCGCGUGAGUGAUGAAGGCCUUAGGGUUGUAAAGCUCUUUUGCCAGGGAAGAUGAUGACUGUACCUGGAGAAUAAGCCCCGGCUAACUUCGUG
rnacentral:rRNA from 1 species